UUUUGAAGCAAGUGACUAGAUCUAUAAUACAGAUAAAAGAAAAAGUAUUAUAGAUCUAGUCACUUGCUUCAAAA